rnacentral:rRNA from 1 species
GCAAGUCGAACGAGAAAGCCCUUCGGGGCUAGUACAGUAGCGGACGGGUGAGUAACGCGUAGGAAUCUACCUAGUAGUUGGGUACAACUCGAGGAAACUCGAGCUAAUACCGCAUACGCCCUACGGGGGAAAGGGGGUUUCGCCUCUCGCUAUUAGAUGAGCCUGCGUCGGAUUAGCUUGUUGGUGGGGUAAUGGCCUACCAAGGCGACGAUCCGUAGCUGGUCUGAGAGGACGAUC